GACGAACGCUGGCGGCGUGCCUAAUACAUGCAAGUAGAACGCUGAAGGAGGAGCUUGCUCUUCUGGAUUAGUUGCGACCGGGUGAGUAACGCUUAGGUAACCUGCCUGUUACCGUGGGAUAACUUUUUGAAACGUUAGCUAAUACCGCAUAAGAUUUCAUGUUUCUUGACAUUUACUUAAAAGUUUCACUUGCUUCACUACCACUUGGCUAUUCGUUGUAUUAUCUAGUUGUUGGGUUAACGGAUUACCAUGGAGAGUAUACAUAGCGGACCUGCGAGGGGGAUCGGCCAAACUGGGACGGAGACACGACCCAGACUCCUACGGGAGGCAGCCGUAGGGAAUCUUCAGCAAUGGACGGAAGACUGACCGAGAAACGCCGCGUGAGUGAAGAAGGUUGUCGGAUCGUAAAGCUCUGUUAUAAGAUAAGAACGAGUAUGAGAGUGAAAAGUUCACACUGUGACGGUAACUUAACAGAAAGCGACGGCUAACUACGUG
rnacentral:rRNA from 1 species